UGGGGAAUUUUGGACAAUGGGCGAAAGCCUGAUCCAGCAAUGCCGCGUGUGUGAAGAAGGCCUUCGGGUUGUAAAGCACUUUUGUCCGGAAAGAAAUCCUUGGCUCUAAUACAGCCGGGGGAUGACGGUACCGGAAGAAUAAGCACCGGCUAACUACGUGCCAGCAGCCGCGGUAAUACGUAGGGUGCAAGCGUUAAUCGGAAUUACUGGGCGUAAAGCGUGCGCAGGCGGUUUGCUAAGACCGAUGUGAAAUCCCCGGGCUCAACCUGGGAACUGCAUUGGUGACUGGCAGGCUAGAGUAUGGCAGAGGGGGGUAGAAUUCCACGUGUAGCAGUGAAAUGCGUAGAGAUGUGGAGGAAUACCGAUGGCGAAGGCAGCCCCCUGGGCCAAUACUGACGCUCAUGCACGAAAGCGUGGGGAGCAAACAGGAUUAGAUACCCUGGUAGUCCACGCCCUAAACGAUGUCAACUAGUUGUUGGGGAUUCAUUUCCUUAGUAACGUAGCUAACGCGUGAAGUUGACCGCCUGGGGAGUACGGUCGCAAGAUUAAAACUCAAAUGAAUUGAC
rnacentral:rRNA from 1 species